rnacentral:rRNA from 1 species
UACGUAGGGGGCAAGCGUUGUCCGGAAUCAUUGGGCGUAAAGCGCGUGUAGGCGGUUCGAUAAGUCUGCUGUGAAAGUCCAGGGCUCAACCCUGGGAUGCCGGUGGAUACUGUCGAGCUAGAGUACGGAAGAGGCGAGUGGAAUUCCCGGUGUAGCGGUGAAAUGCGCAGAUAUCAGGAGGAACACCAAUUGCGAAGGCAGCUCGCUGGGACGUUACUGACGCUGAGACGCGAAAGCGUGGGGAGCAAACAGG